UUGGAGGGCAAGUCUGGUGCCAGCAGCCGCGGUAAUUCCAGCUCCAAUAGCGUAUAUUAAAGUUGUUGCAGUUAAAAAGCUCGUAGUUGAAUUUCGGGGUUAGUAGAUUGGUCAUGCCUCUGGUAUGUACUGGUCUUACUGAUUCCUCCUUCCUGAUGAACCGUAAUGCCAUUUAUUUGGUGUUGCGGGGAAUUUGGACUGUUACUUUGAAAAAAUUAGAGUGUUUAAAGCAAGCUAACGCUUGAAUACAUUAGCAUGGAAUAAUGAAAUAGGACGUUCGAUCCUAUUUUGUUGGUUUCCAGGAUUGACGUAAUGAUUAAUAGGGAUAGUUGGGGGCAUUAGUAUUCAAUUGUCAGAGGUGAAAUUCUUGGAUUUAUUGAAGACUAACUACUGCGAAAGCAUUUGCCAAGGAUGUUUUCAUUAAUCAAGAACGAAAGUUAGGGGAUCGAAGACGAUCAGAUACCGUCGUAGUCUUAACCAUAAACUAUGCCGACUAGGGAUCGGAUGAUGUUAAUUUUUUAAUGACUCAUUCGGCGCCUUACGGGAAAC
rnacentral:rRNA from 1 species